rnacentral:rRNA from 1 species
AGUGAACGCUGGCGAUAGGCCUAACACAUGCAAGUCGAACGGCAGCACAGUAAGAGCUUGCUCUUACGGGUGGCGAGUGGCGGACGGGUGAGGAAUACAUCGGAAUCUACUUUUUCGUGGGGGAUAACGUAGGGAAACUUACGCUAAUACCGCAUACGACCUACGGGUGAAAGCAGGGGAUCUUCGGACCUUGCGCGAUUGAAUGAGCCGAUGUCGGAUUAGCUAGUUGGCGGGGUAAAGGCCCACCAAGGCGACGAUCCGUAGCUGGUCUGAGAGGAUGGACCGCCAAACUGGAACUGGGACACGGGCCAGGAUCCUACGGGAAGCAGCAGUAGGGGAAUAUUGGACAAUGGGCGCAAGCCUGAUCCAGCCAUACCGCGUGGGUGAAGAAGGCCUUCGGGUUGUAAAGCCCUUUUGUUGGGAAAGAAAAGCAGCAGGUUAAUACCCCGCUGUUCUGACGGUACCCAAAGAAUAAGCACCGGCUAACUUCGUG